UAGAUCAAUCGAUCCAUUCUGUCUCAUGA
rnacentral:piRNA from 1 species